rnacentral:misc_RNA from 1 species
UCCGGUUUGUCACCGGCAGUCUGGCUAGAAACAUCGGCAACUAACCACGGGGGUUGCGCUCGUUGCGGGACUUAACCCAACAUCUCACGAUACGAGCUGACGACAGCCAUGCAGCACCUGUGCUCCACCCUCGAAGGCCAACCGCUUUCACGGCUCUGCAGGAGCAUGUCAAGCCCUGGUAAGGUUCUACGCGUUGCGUCGAAUUAAACCGCACGCUCCGCCGCUUGUGCGGGCCCCCGUCAAUUCCUUUGAGUUUUAGCCUUGCGGCCGUACUCCCCAGGCGGCAGACUUCACGCGUUGGCUUCGGCACGGAGGGGGUCAAGUCCCCCCACGCCUAGUCUGCAUCGUUUACUGCGUGGACUA